ensembl:lncRNA
UAUGUAUAUAUAUAUAUAUAUAUAUAUAUAUAUAUAUAUAUAUAUAUAAUAUACAUACACACACACGUAGAUAUUAGAGAUGGCACGAUACCACUUUUUUAUGUCCGAUACCGAUACCGAUAUCAUAAAUUUGGAUAUCUGCCGAUACCGAUAUGAAUCCGAUAUAGUGUUUUUUAAUCAACAAAACUGUUUUUUAAAAUAUCUUGCUGCAUUUUGCAAGUCUGCAAGUUCAUACUCAAGUUUAAAACAACAACUACACUAAAGCUAUUCUGUUAUACCUGUAUACAAAAAAAAUAUUUCAUAGUUCAGCAAUACUGAUCAAUCUAAUAAACUUAGACCUACACCAUCCUCCCUAUUCUGGUUUUUUAAAGAGUACUUAGCAUAAAUAUUAAGCAACCUAACUAAUAGGGUUCCAACUCCCAGCAACAACAAAAAUAAAUAAAUAAAAAAUAGGGAACCACCCCUCACGCUCCACCUCAUGAUGCUUAAUCGACGUAAUCAACCUUAAUUUGAUGCAGUGUGAAAAAAAAUGCACAGAAAUCAAUUAUUUUUCAAGAAAUAUUAAAUAGAUUCAACAUCUUUCUUCAACAAAAUUGCAGACUGCACAGAUGGUACCUUCCCAAAGGAAAAAGUACUAUAGCUUACUAGGGUAUAUAUAUAUUAGACUUAAUAGUCACUAUAUACAGUAAUUGACUUCUAUUCAUUUUACAUCAAAUUAAAACUUUGGCUGUCAGAUAAUUAUUUAUUAAAAGCUCGACAUUUUAAAUGAGAAUAAGAAAGAAAAGUAUGUCUUUGUGCCCCCUUUUCCCUGUUCAUGCCCUAUCGGCCCCCCUGGCUAAACUUUGCUAGAUCCGCCCCUGCACAGUUACCAGCCGUCAGCUACGUAGAAAAAGAUCCUGGUGUAGAAAGUAAUAUUAAAUAAAUUCUAACAACAGCUGAUCAAGCUUAAACGUGCUGCUGUUGUUCAGCUGCUGGUUUCCUCUUUCUGGUGCAAAGUGGGCCAAAAACAAAGAUGGACUCAGGACAGAAAAGCCGAUCAGCUGAUCAUUUAAGCAGUUUCACGAUUGAAGUAGCAGCCGGAGAGCAAGAGGCAGUCGCUCGUUAAGCUUAAAGCAGGAAUGCUUUACAAACAUUCAGAGAUGGACUUACACACUUGCUUUACUUCUCUCGGGGAUAACUUUGUCGGAGAUGAAAUGCCGGGUUGCUAGCGAAGCUCCACAUGCUAUCCAGAUCACCGAGGUGAGUUACGGCGUGUUGCAAGUUUGUGAGGUGCUUUCGUGAUAUUUAAUGGAUCGGAUUACAUUUUUUAUUUUUCUCCGAUAUCCGAUCCAGUCAUUUAGGUCAGUAUCGGACCGAUACCGAUACGUAAUAUCGGAUCGGUCCAUCUCUAGUAGAUAUACAUAUUUAGUAUACACAUUCAGUAAUGCGCAUACACUCUUAUAUUGUACAUAUAUUUAUUCAUAUAAUUCACAGAUUUACCCAUUCUUAUAUUUUGCUUGUUCUUAUGUUAUUGUAUUUUUACACACCUCUGUUGCUUGUGAAGCUUGCACACAAGAAUUUCACUCGCAUGUACUGUACCAGUGUACCUGCACAUGUGAUGUGACAAUAAAAGUGAUUUGAUUUGGAAUUUUCCAUGACGAGUAACAAUGACAACUAGAAAGUGCAUUUUCUGAAGAAACUGCAGUGUGAAUGCUUGAAUCUGAAUGUAUGCACUGAAAUGAAUUAAUUGCUGAAUUUUGAUUUAAAAUAUUGAAUGAGAUUAAAAAAAAAACAAAAAAAAAACACGUAUUUAACCUGAAAACAAAAGUGCUGAACUGCUAAAAGCUGAAGGUUACACAGAAGAAGGAGUUGGAAAAAAACUGAAAAUGUUUUAAAUGUAAAUUAGAAAACCUAAGAAAUGAGAAAAGAACAUUUAGAGUCAGAAAACAUCUGAAUGAAUAUUAAAAGGUCAUAUUCUUUGAAUCACUGAAUGACUAAAAUGUGAUCCCUCCACUUGGACCCACACAGUUUAAAAAGUUUACAUCUCUGAGCUUUGAAAGACAAGAUGUUGGAAAAAGAACAACGAUGGUGACGUUUUGAGGGUAAAAUGAUGGCUUUAACACUGUGGACACAGCAGCAGUUGAAAGAGAAGUGUUUAAGAUGAAUCUUGGCAGAGAGAGAGAGAGAGAGCUCGUUAAGCAGGCAGGUGUGAGCCUGGUUGCUAUAGUAACUGCACCCAAUGGCUCCAUACACACGUACACAGACAUGCGCCUCACUUUUGCUGCUUAAAAUGAACAGAAAAGUCAGGCCGAAACAAAUCGUUCCCAAAUGAAAAGUAAAAGUCGUAUUGACAAAAUUCUUUCACUGUGAGCGACAGCAAUGUCUAGUCUACCAAAUUCUCAGUUUUCAUGUCUGUGGAGUUUAUUAUAUGGACGUGGUGACAGUGGAAAGACACCAUGCUCUUCUGAUUUUCAAACGAACCUUCUGAGCCAUUUUAACAUUAGAGUCUAUGGAAGAGUUGGAGGGAGGAGGCUGUGCAUUGGUGACAUUUAUGAAAGAACCAUAAGACCUAGUACAAUAGUAAACACAUUGGAUGAAAGAGGACAGCCAUGGCUACGUUUUGAGGGUAAAAUCAUACCUGUAGAGCAAACGCUGCGGACACAGCAGCAGUUUUAAAAAAGAUUUUAAGAUUAAUUUUUUUGCUCCUCUCACUCUAGCAGUUGAGCUCUCUCACUCUAGCCCCAACAUUCCGUCCCAUACACACCCAUUAUAAACUCUGAAACGGGUGAAAAAACAUCAUGAAACUUAAACUGGAACUGAAGAAAAAGUAUAAUAGAUAUUGAAAAGAUAAAUACAAGUUGAAUAGUUGAAUGUCUUGUCUUCGUUUUAAAGUUUGAAUGGUGGCUCUAUGUCAAUGUAUGUGGAAGUAGAUACAGUUUAAAGAGGAGGAAGUUGAAUGAGAAUUUGAAGGGUCUCCCCAUUGAAAUACAUUAUAAAUUUUUGUUGAAAAAAGUUGAAUAAAAUUAAAAAUAUAAAUGUUAAAAAUGAGAAAAAUAGAAGCAAUGUUGUCCAAAAUAAUAGGAAUCUAACGGUGUUUGAAUGGUUUUUCUAAGUUGAACGGUUUUGAAGGAGUAGGCUUUCAAAAAACGUACGGAAAAAUAAAAUAUAACUAGAAAGUGCAUUUUCUGAAGAAACUGCAGUGUGAAUGCUUGAAUCUGAAUGUAUGCACUGAAAUGAAUUAAUUGCUGAAUUUUGAGUUAAAAAUUUUGAAUGAGAUAAAAAAAAAAAAAAACAAAUUUAACCUGAAAACAAAAGUGCUGAACUGCUAAAAGCUGAAGGUUACACAGAAGAAGAAGUUGGAAAAAAGCUGAAAAUGUUUUAAUUGUAAAUUAGAAAAACCUAAGAAAUGAGAAAAGAACAUUUAGAGUCAGAAAACAUCUGAA